UGGGGAAUAUUGGACAAUGGGCGAAAGCCUGAUCCAGCCAUGCCGCGUGUGUGAAGAAGGCCUUAUGGUUGUAAAGCACUUUAAGCGAGGAGGAGGGUACUGGUAUUAAUACUACCAGCUACUGGACGUUACUCGCAGAAUAAGCACCGGCUAACUCUGUGCCAGCAGCCGCGGUAAUACAGAGGGUGCGAGCGUUCAUCGGAAUUACUGGGCGUAAAGCGCGCGUAGGUGGUUCGUUAAGUUGAAUGUGAAAGCCCCGGGCUCAACCUGGGAACUGCAUCCAAAACUGGCGAGCGAGAGUAGGGCAGAGGGUGGUGGAAUUUCCUGUGUAGCGGUGAAAUGCGUAGGUCUAGGAAGGAACACCAGUGGCGGAGGCGACCACCUGGGCUCAUACUGACACUGAGGUGCGAAAGCGUGGGGAGCAAACAGG
rnacentral:rRNA from 1 species